UGCACCAACAACCAAGAGAAUGAACUAAAGAGAAAAAAGGAAAAGACAGAAGAAAACAGCAAACAACAAUGAAAAAAAUAUAUAUGAAAAAAGGACAUCAAGGACAACUAAAAUCAUAACAGCAAUGCCAACUGUAUAUGUUUGUGUGCAUGUCUGGCACUAUUACAUGUAUGUGUGUGUUCUUGUAUGUUUUUAUUUGAAUGAGAGUGUGUGUAUAUGCAUGUGUACAAACACCUGCACGACAUCAGGCUCAGGCAAACCGGCAUUAGCUGUAAAAACACUGCCACUUAGUGUCAUUCAAACAUACUUUUUAUUAUGUUUUAUUUUUACUUUAUUUUUUUAUUUUAUCUUUGACCAUCAUUCUAUCUCCCGCACCGCAACUCCACUCCCACUUGUCUCCAAUUCCACAUCCCAACCCUCAGCUUCCCUCAGCCCAUCCCACCUAUCUAUGCUGGCCAUGCUCUUUGGAUUUCUACGCAACAUAUCUUUCAACUAUGCUGUGAUGUUUAACGUACAAUUUCAAUCUAUCUAAUUGAAUAGAAUCCACAGAUGCCGCGUUGAAGAUAAAUACUUUUACUAAAGGUACUAGUAUAUUAGUAAUUGACUGACCCGGUCUCUCCAGAUCUCCUAACAGUACUAUUUCUAGGGUCCAUUUUAGAUCAACGCUAUGCAUUUUCAGCCAUUCCUGAACCUGAGACCAAAAACAGGCUACCUGAGGGCAAUACCAAAAUAAAUGGUCUAUUGAUUCUGUAUCCUCACAACAAAAUCUGCAGAGCUUCGAACACUAGUCUACUUAAUUGGGAAGAUGCUAAAUAGCGUAGUAGGUUUUGCUUUUAUUUAUUUUAUUUUGGGGGGGGAUUUCUGUUUUCUUGUUGAAAAGUGUUUCUUGUUCUAUUGGCCUUUGUCAGAGGUCUUAGACUAAAUACUAAACCAUCUUCUGAUUUGUGAAUCUGUCAGCACCGGGGACUCUGGAUGUGGCUGCGUAAUUGAUGCCUUAGCAGUCAUUCUGAUCUCAUUCCCAAUUAUCAGUGGUUUAGUUUGUUAUGUUGCUGUCCAGCAGUUUUGAAUUUGUGAUGCACCCGACUAUCCACGCUUUUCUGUGCAAUAGCCUUUUGAUUUGAAAAGUUUUGGUGUGUGUUCUAGGCUAUUAAUUUAAUAUACAUAUACAGUUGAAGUCGGAGGUUUACAUACACCUUAGCCAAAUACAUUUAAACUCAGUUUUUCACAUAUCAGGCCGCACUUGGCCCUGCCCCACCUACUCAGCUAGUCAGGAGUCACUUCUACGUUGCGGCCGUGGCAUACUGCAUACUUUUUACUAAAAGGUAUGUGCUAAAUAGUAUGCAGUUUAAAUAUGUAGUACGCUGGAAUGGGUAUUCGGAAGGGACACUUUCUUACAUUUCACAAACUCAUCACGUUCAUGUAAUAUGAUUUUGUUCUUGAUUGACAGUGAAAAGGUGAGAAACCUUUUUUCUGUUCUACACGUGUUUUGUUUGCUUGCUAUUUGCAGUGUUUUAGUCAAGUCACUAAGUCUUGUGACCGAGUCCCAAGUCCCCUGUGCUCCAGUCCGUGUCGAGUCACGACUCCCUAUGGCUGAAGUCUGAGUCAAGUCCAAGUCCGAGUCACAAGUCCCAUCAAUAUAUAAUAGGUUUUAUUAUGCAGUUGUUUUAGUCACCACCAGAUGGCAGUAUACCGCCACUCACUCAUUUUAAUCCCAACUCAUUUAGUGUUUAUCACUACCUCACAAUUUCUACUCAAUACCUGUUUCAUUACUUAUUUACUACAUAAAUGAAUGUUAUGCCAGGCGCUCAGCUACCGCCCAUUGAUUUGUGUAGGUUUUUAUUGCAGAGUGAAAACUAAAGGCAGAAUUGUCAGAACCUGCCCACUAAUAUUUCUGAGUUUAAUUUUAAAUUGCAUAAAAAGUAUUUUGCUAAGAAAAAUUCCAGAUUGCAUCUUAUUUUUGGAUUGAAUACAUUACAUUUUCAUUGAUUUACAUUAUAUUGAUAGAAGUUUUACAAAGUGUACAUUUACUUUUAACUCAUCUGUCUGCAUAUUUCAAGACAUGGCAUAUGAGGGUGCAAUAAGAUACCCAAUGAGUUGGAUGAUAUUUUCUCAUCAAUUCUUUUUUUUAAAACAUAUACUUAACUAGAAAUCAACCAAUCCUGCAUCAACAACACAAUGGAAAGGCAAAGUGGUUUAUAAUCUAAAUCUAAAGUGCGUGGGCGACGGAGAGAAACAAAAUGGUGCAGUUUGAGGCCAUGUGGAGGAGAGUGACGCGACUCAGGAGAUGGGGGUGUGAACAGCUCUCUGUUUUUCCUGGAUCUCACCGACGACAUCAGCCUGGCUCCUCUCAAUGGAGCGCAACAGCGCAGUGAAGACCUGCUCACUUUCCUCUGUCUUUCUGUGAACUAGCCUGUGGAAUGAAGUGAACUAGAUUCAGACAAAUGAAUGUGCUCUAAAAUAUUACCUAUAGUGAAUCUGUGUCACAGGUGUUACUUUUUUAAAUUAUAUUUGAUAUACAAACUAUAACAAGUAGUCACCCAAGCAACAGGAUUGUAUUGACAUGUUGAUACAUAAUAAUGCAGAAAUUGCCUUGAAAAGGAGUUUAGUGUUUUAGGCCUUCCUUAAUUAUUCAACUUUUUGCAGUAGACAACGACACCAAAAGGUCUGGCUGUUUAUCUGCACAAAUUCUUUAUUUGUAACAGUGUCAUUUAUGUAUUUUUAAAAUGGAGGAGAUGGACACUUUCACUUAGUCAUCAUACACUUUUCCCUCAGGGCAAUACAAAUAUAUCUUGAAGGCACAGUGUGUGCUCAAGUGUGGGCCAUACUGAAAUUAAGUUUAUUCGUGAUUGAUAGUGUAAAUUAAAGAAACCUUCUGAGAUUUCAUCUAUUUUAUACGUGUUUUGUUUGCAAUUUGUAAUAUUAUAUACAAAAUUUCUCAUUUGUGAGCUUUAUUUCAAUUCCAUAAAAAGUAUUUUGCUCAAAUUACAGUGGGGGUCUAAAAAUUAAAAUGCUUAUUAUCAAGUAGCCUACGCAUAAAAAUGUGUAAUGAUCAAUCAUAAACAAAUCAAUUCAAAGUUUAUUUGUCACGUGCGCCGAAUACAACAGGUGUAGACCUUACAGUGAAAUGCUUACUUACAGGCUCUAACCAAUAGUGCAAAAAAAGGUAUUAGGUGAACAAUAGGUAGGUAAAGAAAUAAAACAACAGUAAAAUGACAGGCUAUAUACAGUAGCGAGGCUAUAAAAGUAGCGAGGCUACAUACAGACACCGGUUAGUCAGGCUGAUUGAGGUAGUAUGUACAUGUAGAUAUGGUUAAAGUGACUAUGCAUAUAUGAUGAACAGAGAGUAGCAGUGGCGUAAAAGAGGGGUUGGGAGUGAUGGGAGUGAUGUGUUUGUAGCAUUAAAAUAACAAUUGUCUCAUUUGUUAGUUUUCCUUGAAGACUUUUAGAAGGUUUAUAUUAUAAAAAAAAUUAAAAA
rnacentral:lncRNA from 1 species